rnacentral:tmRNA from 1 species
GGGGGUGAAUUUGGUUUCGACAGGGUUAUAGAGACAUUGAACUGCGCAUCGUGUUCCCCGAAAGCACGUUAAAAACUUGGGAACAAAAAUAUAACUGGCGAAUAUAACUACGCCUUAGCCGCUUAAUAAAAUAAGUGACUCGUUCACCGGGUGUUCGCAUACCGGUAUUCGGAUGAACGACGUUUAGGUAUGAUAGCUGAUCCCCACGCUC